CCUACGGGAGGCAGCAGUGGGGAAUAUUGCACAAUGGGGGAAACCCUGAUGCAGCGACGCCGCGUGAGUGAAGAAGUAAUUCGUUAUGUAAACCUCUAUCAGCAGGGAAGAAAAUGACGGUACCUAAGUAAGAAGCACCGGCUAACUACGUGCCAGCAGCCGCGGUAAUACGGAGGGUGCAAGCGUUAUCCGGAUUUACUGGGCGUAAAGGGAGCGUAGACGGGAGAGCAAGUCUGAUGUGAAAGGCGAGGGCUCAACCCUCGGACUGCACUUGAAACUGUACGGCUGGAGUGUAGGAGAGGUAAGUGGAAUUCCUGGUGUAGCGGUGAAAUGCGUAGAGAUUAAGAGGAACACUCGUGGCGAAGGCGACCUGCUAGACUGUAACUGACGUUGAGGCGCGAAAGCGUGGGGAGCAAACAGGAUUAGAUACCCGGGUAGUC
rnacentral:rRNA from 1 species